AGUGAACGCUGGCGGUAGGCCUAACACAUGCAAGUCGAACGGCAGCACAGUAAGAGCUUGCUCUUACGGGUGGCGAGUGGCGGACGGGUGAGGAAUACAUCGGCAUCUACUUUUUCGUGGGGGAUAACGGAGGGAAACUUACGCUAAUACCGCAUACGACCUACGGGUGAAAGCAGGGGAUCUUCGCACCUUGCGCGAUUGAAUGAGCCGAUGCCGGAUUAGCUAGUUGGCGGGGUAAAGGCCCACCAAGGCGACGAUCCGUAGCUGGUCUGAGAGGAUGAUCAGCCACACUGGAACUGAGACACGGUCCAGACUCCUACGGGAGGCAGCAGUGGGGAAUAUUGGACAAUGGGCGCAAGCCUGAUCCAGCCAUACCGCGUGGGUGAAGAAGGCCUUCGGGUUGUAAAGCCCUUUUGUUGGGAAAGAAAAGCAGCAGGUUAAUACCCCGCUGUUCUGACGGUACCCAAAGAAUAAGCACCGGCUAACUUCGUG
rnacentral:rRNA from 1 species